CUACAAAUGAAUUGACGGGGCCCGCACAAGCGGUGGAGCAUGUGUUUAAUUCGACGCAACGCGAAGAACCUUACCAGGGCUUGACAUCCCCUGACCGCGUAUGAAAGUACGUUUUUACCCUCGGGUGACAGGGAGACAGGUGGUGCAUGGUUGUCGUCAGCUCGUGUCGUGAGAUGUUGGGUUAAGUCCCGCAACGAGCGCAACCCCUACGUUUAGUUGCUAACGCGUGAAGGCGAGCACUCUAGACGAACUGCCGUUGACAAAACGGAGAGUGGGAUGACGUCAAAUCAUCAUGCCCCUUAUGUUCUGGGCUACACACGUGCUACAAUGGCCGGUACAGACGGACGCAAAGCCGCGAGGUGGAGCAAAUCCUAAAAAGCCGGUCUCAGUUCGGAUUGCAGGCUGCAAUUCGCCUGCAUGAAGUCGGAAUCGCUAGUAAUCGCAGGUCAGCAUACUGCGGUGAAUACGUUCCCGGGCCUU
rnacentral:rRNA from 1 species